rnacentral:rRNA from 1 species
UGGAGGAAUAUUGGUCAAUGGGCGCGAGCCUGAACCAGCCAAGUCGCGUGAGGGAUGACGGCCCUACGGGUUGUAAACCUCUUUUGUCGGGGAGCAAAUUCCGCCACGUGUGGCGGAGUCGAGAGUACCCGAAGAAAAAGCAUCGGCUAACUCCGUGCC